GUUAAAAAGCUCGUAGUUGGAUUUCUGUGACAGACAACCGGUCUACCUUUUGGGUAAGUAUUGGUCUGGCUGUUGCAUCUUCUCGUGGAACGUUCACAUGCUUGAUAGCUUGUGGCGGGCAGCGAGACUUUUGCUUUGAGGAAAUUAGAGUGUUCACGGCAGGCAUGCGCCUUGAAUAUAUUAGCAUGGAAUAAUAAUAUAGGAUCUUCGCUCCUAUUUUGUUGGUUUCUAGGGUGAAGAUAAUGAUUAAUAGGGACAGUUUGGGGGUACUUGUACUAAAGCGUCAGAGGUGGAAUUCUUAGAUUGCUUUAUGACAAACUACUGCGAAAGCAUUUACCAAGGAUGUUUUCAUUGAUCAAGAACGAAAGUUUGGGGAUCGAAAAUGAUUAAAUACCAUCGUAGUCCAAACCAUAAACUAUGCCAACUAGGGAUUGGA
rnacentral:rRNA from 1 species